rnacentral:rRNA from 1 species
GAACGCUGGCGGCAGGCUUAACACAUGCAAGUCGAGCGGGCGUAGCAAUACGUCAGCGGCAGACGGGUGAGUAACGCGUGGGAACGUACCUUUUGGUUCGGAACAACACAGGGAAACUUGUGCUAAUACCGGAUAAGCCCUUACGGGGAAAGAUUUAUCGCCGAAAGAUCGGCCCGCGUCUGAUUAGCUAGUUGGUGAGGUAACGGCUCACCAAGGCGACGAUCAGUAGCUGGUCUGAGAGGAUGAUCAGCCACAUUGGGACUGAGACACGGCCCAAACUCCUACGGGAGGCAGCAGUGGGGAAUAUUGGACAAUGGGCGCAAGCCUGAUCCAGCCAUGCCGCGUGAGUGAUGAAGGCCCUAGGGUUGUAAAGCUCUUUUGUGCGGGAAGAUAAUGACGGUACCGCAGGAAUAAGCCCCGGCUAACUUCGUGCCAGCAGCCGCGGUAAUACGAAGGGGGCUAGCGUUGCUCGGAAUCACUG